UACGGGGGGGGCAAGCGUUGUUCGGAAUUACUGGGCGUAAAGGGCUCGUAGGCGGCCAACUAAGUCAUACGUGAAAUCCCUCGGCUUAACCGGGGAACUGCGUGUGAUACUGGAUGGCUGGAGUUUGGGAGAGGGAUGCGGAAUUCCAGGUGUAGCGGUGAAAUGCGUAGAUAUCUGGAGGAACACCGGUGGCGAAGGCGGCGUCCUGGACCAACACUGACACUGAAGAGCGAAAGCCAGGGGAGCAAACGGG
rnacentral:rRNA from 1 species